GGAAAAUUUGCAGGUUAGUAACAGCACCAACUGCUGGUUACAACAACACGAACAACUGCGAGCCGUGUUUCAAGUUUAGUAGCCUUAUUUAUACGUUUUCUUGUGCGCAGCAGAGAGAGAGUCACACAGACGGCAGAAUCAAAACAAUGAAUGCCAUAAAUGCUGUGCAGUUGUUCAUUAUGGUUUGGACCUUCACCGCUGUCUGUCAAGCUGAUGUUGAUUUCUGCAGUGUAACUUGUCAAAAUGUGACUGGAUCUGUGGGGAAAGAAGCAACUUUCACCUGCAACAUCUCUAAGCAGUGUGCUAAAUGCUGCGUUGUAAUGUAUAAGUUUCAAUACCCUGAGAGCUAUAAAGACUCAACAAUCCAUAAAGAAGUGUUUC